rnacentral:rRNA from 1 species
CAGCCGCCGCGGUAAUACGUAGGGUGCAAGCGUUAAUCGGAAUUACUGGGCGUAAAGCGUGCGCAGGCGGUUUGUUAAGACAGAUGUGAAAUCCCGGGCCUCAACCCCGGAACUGCAUCCGAUACUGCCAUGCUAGAGGAUUGGAGAGGUAGCUGGAAUUCUUGGUGUAGCAGUGAAAUGCGUGGAGAUCAAGAGGAACACUCGUGGCGAAAGCGAGCUACUGGACAAUAACUGACGCUGAGGCUCGAAGGCCAGGGUAGCGAAAGGGAUUAGAUACCCGAGUAGUCCCUGUCUCUUAUAC